rnacentral:rRNA from 1 species
UACGUAGGGUGCGAGCGUUAUCCGGAAUGAUUGGGCGUAAAGCGUCCGCAGGUGGCUGUGUAAGUCUGCUGUCAAAGAGCAAAGCUCAACUUUGUAAAGGCAGUGGAAACUACACGGCUAGAGUGCGUUCGGGGCAGAGGGAAUUCCUGGUGUAGCGGUGAAAUGCGCAGAUAUCGGGAGGAACACCUAUUGCGAAGGCAGCUCGCUGGGACGUUACUGACACUGAGGCGCGAAAGCGUGGGGAGCGAACAGG